CAAGUUCUUGGUGAUCCCAACUAGCUCAAAUUCAAAGAUCAACACCAAGUUUUAUCACUAAAGCAAAUCAACAAAUGCUAUAAAAAAAAAGUUAUAUGAGUAGAAAAUUAUACAAUUGUAUAAUUCUGUGUUUUAUACAGCUAAGAUAGUAUUUAUAUCAUUGUAUAAUGUAUAAGAAAGACUAAUUAUAUCUUUUGUUUAUGUUUGAAUGAAAGGAGAGGCUAAAUUAAAGUGGAAUUAUGUGGAGAAAAUGUUGCAGAAAUUUACGAAAGUUGCCACUGUACUGUUGAUUUUAUGAACUUAUAUUUUGCAUUAAAUCCCUGAAAAUCCGCACAAAUUACUGCUGGGGGUAUCAAGAAUAAAGAAUUAAGCAAAUGUUAAGACGGUACGUAGGGGAUAUUAUAUUACAUUGUCCGAAGUUGGACAUUCCAAACACACUUUUCGGUACAAUUUUGUAAUUAAAAUUUACUGUGGGUGUCCAAUUCAUUUUCAUACUAUUUUUAUUUGGUUUAAUUAUCGAAUACGUCCUGACAAAACAAAAAUAUUUAUCAAAUACGUUAUUUUGUGCAUCCAAAUAUAUUAAAUAAGUUGCUGAUUAUAAUAUUGAUUCCACUGGGUUUACUCAUUUAAAAAUUUGUAUCAAAAUUAUCAUGUUAUCAUUAGUCAAAAUCUUAAAAGUAUUAUAUAUUGAGUUUCGUACAUAUUUGUGGAUGAUGUUACAUUCAAAUGAAAGGUUACGAGUUCUAUUAUUUUAGAUAAUAUUAUUAGAUUUUUAUCAACUAUUUAUUUCUAAUUUUUUGACUGUUGUAUUUGAUUUAUUAAAAUUCAUAAAGUUAGCUCUUAGAUUAUGAAAUUUUGUUUAUAAGAAAAUUUAAAAUAAUUAAGUGAUACCCUACUAGAAUUUACAUAAACUAUAGUAUAUUAAAACUGUACUUAUAAUAAAUCUAUUAAAGUUUAUUAAACUUAAAAUUAAACUUUAAUAAAGUGAAGAUUUUGAAGCUAUCAUAAACUUUAAUUAAACUUAUUUUCAUAUAACUUUAAUCUUUUUUCUUUGAAACUAUAAUUUUAAUCUUUUUAAUAGUACAAAUUGAAUGAUAUUAGGAUCUGAUUUGUUGCAUGAUUUCUUGUAGUAAAUAAGAGGAGCUUAGAAAUGAAUAUUUUAAAACAAUAAAUUAUAAACUUUGACCUCUUCUCUUUUGAACAGUUUGGCUGAAUAAUUUAGAGUUUUUUUUCUUAUCUCGUUUCAGUUGUUUUAUCUUUGCUAAUUGAUUAACUAAACUUAAAAGAAGUGACUUCUUAUUUAAAAUGAAAAAUUGGAGUAAAGAUGAAGAGUAGAAGUAAAAUUUUAAGUUGUUAAGUGUUUGGUUACUUUUGAACUUAUAAUAUAUACUUUUAGUGAAAAAAGUGAGAAGUAGGAGAAAAGAAACCGGGACUUCUAAUUUUUUAAUUGUCACUUUUUGAAUCCAUAAUAAGUGGAUUGCUUUUAUCCCAAACGGUCAUCCAACUUGUCAAUUGGGCUUCUGAUUAAAAGACACACCACUUCUUGGUUCUUAUUCCCAAACCGCUAUGUUUGCAAGUCAUGGAGAAAAAUUUGACUAAAAAUUACAAAUAUCAUAUUAUUAAAUUUUAUUAUUAAGACCUUAUACAUCCAUUUAUAAAUGAGAGAUUUCUUCUUCUUAUACACCGAAAAGAAACAUUCUCACAAAAUAAUUAUGCUAGAAAUAAUUUUGCAAAUUUUACCUACCUGGAAAAAUGGUUCCACCGACAGGUUCAAAGUCGUGAAAGUUAAAACCAUCGAAGACUAAUAAGAUAGGCGAUAUGCCGAUAUAUAUUUUAUGCAGGUAGUAAGUGGGAGUGCAAGGGUAGACAAUAAUUAGGUUAACUUUUAUGAAUUUGUUUUUUAAUUAAUUACUGUGAUACUCCUUUUUUCCACAAGCCUAUAGUAUUCUACAUUUUUGUUCACAAAUGUUACAUUCUUUUUUUCUACUAACUUGUCCGGUAAACUACUAAACUAUCUUCAAAUUUUAUCAAAAAUUAUGUGCAUUUCAAAAUUGAUUUAAAUAUAUUUCUAUGAGUAUGAUGAGGCCAAUUGGUAAAUUUUUUUGUAUAAAAUUAAUUAAUUAUUAUAUACAAGCUAUAAACAACCAAUUUGAGUAUAAAUAAACAGGUCAAUCUUUUCUUCUUCUUUUUUUAACGUAAGAACUCUUUAGGUGCGCACUGGGUGAACAAAAGUAAACCGCACCUAAGCGACUUAAGCCACAGGUUCUAGUCCAAAAAACAUAAUCACAAAUUUCGCUUCCUUCGGAGUCGAACCAAACAGGUCAAAGUAAUAGAACAAGUUGAUAUUACACGUCUUUAACUAUGAAGUGAUAUAUACAAUGUCGANUGAUAAGACUGAGGUGCAGAACCUUCCUUAAAAGAGUCUUUUUUUACCACUUCUUGCUCUCCAUUUUUACCAUCAUCUUCUGAUGAUCCAAAACAUGGAAAACACCCCAUAUCACAAUCAAAAAACACUAUAUACUCAAACCCUUCAAGAAAAGCCUGUAUAUAUAAUCUAUAGAUACACAAUCACUUGUAUGCAAAUCCUCAAAAAAUCCAAACUUUUAAUGUCAAGAACUCAAAUUUCUGAAAUUGCAAUCAUGGGCAAGUUCUUGGUGAUCCCAACUAGCUCAAAUUCAAAGAUCAACACCAAGUUUUAUCACUAAAGCAAAUCAACAAAUGCUAUAAAAAAAAAGUUAUAUGAGUAGAAAAUUAUACAAUUGUAUAAUUCUGUGUUUUAUACAGCUAAGAUAGUAUUUAUAUCAUUGUAUAAUGUAUAAGAAAGACUAAUUAUAUCUUUUGUUUAUGUUUGAAUGAAAGGAGAGGCUAAAUUAAAGUGGAAUUAUGUGGAGAAAAUGUUGCAGAAAUUUACGAAAGUUGCCACUGUACUGUUGAUUUUAUGAACUUAUAUUUUGCAUUAAAUCCCUGAAAAUCCGCACAAAUUACUGCUGGGGGUAUCAAGAAU
rnacentral:lncRNA from 1 species